AAAAUGCGAUAAGUAAUGUGAAUUGCAUAAUUCAGUGAAUCAUCGAAUCUUUGAACGCACAUUGCGCCCGCCAGUAUUCUGGCGGGCAUGCCUGUUCGAGCGUCAUUUCAACCCUCAAGCCCCCGGGUUUGGUGUUGGGGAUCGGGCUGCGGUUCUACCGCGUCCCGGCCCCGAAAUCUAGUGGCGGUCUCGCUGCAGCCUCCAUUGCGUAGUAGCUAACACCUCGCAACUGGAACGCGGCGCGGCCAAGCCGUUAAACCCCCAACUUCUGAAUGUUGACCUCGGAUCAGGUAGGAAUACCCGCUGAACUUAAGC
rnacentral:misc_RNA from 1 species